rnacentral:lncRNA from 1 species
AUUCAACAACAUACUCUCCCCAUCUUUAAACAACAAACUACCUUCAGAGAACCAUCGCUCAGUCACACUCUCGUCUCACAAGGAAUGAUCUAGCCUACUGACACUACCAACAUUUUUUAUUGAUAGAAAUGAUAAAGGUGGGAUUCAACAACAUAAUCUCCCCACCAUUGAACAACAAAUUGUGAGUAAAACUAGCUUUAAAAAAAAAAUUAUCGUGUUCUUUACUGCUCGUACAGCAUCAUCGGGCCGGAUAGAGCAUCUGUAGGCUUUUGCCAUCUUGUCUGCGUUCAUUGCAUUCCAGCCUAUGCCUGGAUAAGUAUUGUUAUUAAGAUGAGAAAUGUUUUAGUAUUUUUUCUAACAACUGUUGUCAUAC